GACGAACGCUGGCGGCGUGGAUUAGGCAUGCAAGUCGAACGGUAUCAUCCUUUCGGGGGUGAGAGAGUGGCGAACUGGUGAGUAACACGUAGGUUAUCUACCCUCAAGACGGGGACAACCCAGGGAAACUUGGGCUAAUACCGGAUGUGAGCAACUUUUAGUUGUUUGAAAGGUGGCGUAAGCUGUCGCUUGGGGAUGAGCCUGCGUCCUAUUAGUUAGUUGGUGAGGUAACGGCUCACCUAGGCAAUGAUAGGUAGGCGGCCUUAACGGGUGGUCGCCCACACUGGGAUUGAGAUACGGCCCAGACUCCUACGGGAGGCAGCAGUCGAGAAUAGUCUACAAUGGUCGGAAGACUGAUAGUGCGACGCCGCGUGAACGAUGAAUCCCUUCGGGGUGUAAAGUUCUUUUAUAUGUGAGCAGUGCUUCUUAUAUUAACAGUAUGGGGAGAGAGAUAUUAGCAUAUGAAUAAGCAACGGCUAACUCCGUGCCAGCAGCCGCGGUAAAUCUC
rnacentral:rRNA from 1 species